GCGCGUGAGCUGGCGGAGAUCUCGCGAGAUUUGGGGGGGGCGGGAGGAUCGUGAGGGACCGGGACAAACCGGGACAAAUCGAGAUAAACUGUGAGGAAUCGCGACAAACCGUGAGGGAACUCUGUGCCGACCGUGCCUUGAGGGGCAGCCAAACUCUGUCUCUGACACAGAUCUGCCCUGUCCUAAACCCUCGCAUGUGCCUCGUGGAAAGAUCCUCCAAAGCUCCUCCAGGAUCCCUUUUCCCCCCGUGACAGUUUCACCCUCAAAAUUCCAUGGAGGAACCCAAGGAAUUUAUUCCCACCCCUGGAUGCAUGUGUGUUAUUAUCCAUGCAACUCCAUUCCACCAGGACGCCCCUGGCAGUGCAAUCCCAGGGAUCAUCCAGGGACAUUCCAGUGAAUCCUGAGCUGCUCCCUCAGCACAGCAAGAUUUUCUCCUGCCAUCCUGGAGCUGCUUCAAGCCAAAGUCUGUGCCCUGCUCUCCCAAUUCCCAGCGUUCCUGGCUCCAGGACACACUGAGGGGUGACUCAU